UUGAACGCUGGCGGCAGGCCUAACACAUGCAAGUCGAGCGGUAGAGAGAAGCUUGCUUCUCUUGAGAGCGGCGGACGGGUGAGUAAUGCCUAGGAAUCUGCCUGGUAGUGGGGGAUAACGCUCGGAAACGGACGCUAAUACCGCAUACGUCCUACGGGAGAAAGCAGGGGACCUUCGGGCCUUGCGCUAUCAGAUGAGCCUAGGUCGGAUUAGCUAGUUGGUGAGGUAAUGGCUCACCAAGGCGACGAUCCGUAACUGGUCUGAGAGGAUGAUCAGUCACACUGGAACUGAGACACGGUCCAGACUCCUACGGGAGGCAGCAGUGGGGAAUAUUGGACAAUGGGCGAAAGCCUGAUCCAGCCAUGCCGCGUGUGUGAAGAAGGUCUUCGGAUUGUAAAGCACUUUAAGUUGGGAGGAAGGGCAUUAACCUAAUACGUUGGUGUUUUGACGUUACCGACAGAAUAAGCACCGGCUAACUCUGUGCCAGCAGCCGCGGUAAUACAGAGGGUGCAAGCGUUAAUCGGAAUUACUGGGCGUAAAGCGCGCGUAGGUGGUUUGUUAAGUUGAAUGUGAAAUCCCCGGGCUCAACCUGGGAACUGCAUCCAAAACUGGCAAGCUAGAGUAGGGCAGAGGGUGGUGGAAUUUCCUGUGUAGCGGUGAAAUGCGUAGAUAUAGGAAGGAACACCAGUGGCGAAGGCGACCACCUGGGCUCAUACUGAC
rnacentral:rRNA from 1 species